rnacentral:tRNA from 1 species
GCGAAGGUGGCGGAAUUGGCAGACGCGCUAGGUUUAGGACCUAGUGGGGUUUUCCCCGUGCGGGUUCAAGUCCCGCCCUUCGCACCA